CCUACGGGAGACAGCAGUAGGGAAUCUUUCACAAUGGGCGAAAGCCUGAUGGAGCAACGCCGCGUGCAGGAUGAAGGCCCUCGGGUUGUAAACUGCUUUUAUAAGCGAGAAAUAUGAUGGUAACUUAUGAAUAAGGAUCGGCUAACAACGUGCCAGCAGCCGCGGUCAUACGUAGGAUCCGAGCAUUAUCCGGAGUGACUGGGGGUAAAGAGUUGCGUAGGUGGCAUAAUAAGUAGCUAGUGAAAUCUGGUGGCUCAAACAUUCAGACUAUUAGCUAAACUGUUAAGCUCGAGACCGUUAGAGGUAACUGGAAUUUCUAGUGUAGGAGUGAAAUGCGUAGAUAUUAGAAGGAACACCAAUAGCGUAGGCAGGUUACUGGGACGGUUCUGACACUAAGGCACGAAAGCGUAGGGAGCAAACGGGAUUAGAUACCCGAGUAGUC
rnacentral:rRNA from 1 species